AACGCUGUGGUAUGCUGAGAGUCAGCGUAUGUUGAAAAUCAGAUGAAGAAGCCUGUACACAUCGGUACGCACAAGGUUAGCGUGUUGCUGCAAAAAACGAUAUAAUUCUCAACUGUUAUUCGGUUCAAUGUUCAUAUUCUUUUGUAAAGAGUAAUAUUAGUCAUCGAGGUUGUUUAUUUAUCCAUUUGCUGAGGAAAACAACCGGUCAAAGCUGUUGGUUACUGUUUUUUCUUUUACACGAGCUCUGGAGACAUUAUGCAAAUUGGGCAAGUUCAAGAGCUACAUAUUCCGACUGAAAGUCAGAAGCUAAACACGCUGUAACCACAUGGGGUUCUUUUCCGACAGCCUGCAAUCAGCCUUGGGCUCAAAGUAAGUGGAACAGGUUGUGUAUGAUGCAAAUUAUUAUUCAUUGACAGGAUAUUCUCUCUAGUGUUUACAGUGGUCAAGAGUAAAUAAACAGCAGGCCUCCGCAAAGUCAGAGUAAAUUUGU